AACGAACGCUGGCGGCAGGCAUACAACAUGCAAGACGAACGCCCCGCGAGGGGAGUGGCGCACGGGGGAGUACCGCGUGGGAACGUGCCCUCCGCUACGGGAAAACGUGGGGAAACUGACCUAAAUACGGUAUCGUCACUCCGGUCCAAAGAUUUAUCGGUGAAGGAGCGGCCCGCGUCUGAUUAGCUAGUUGGUGAGGUUAGGGCUUACCAAGGCGACGAUCAGUAGCAGGUCUGAGAGGAUGAUCAGCCACACUGGGACUGAGACACGGCCCAGACUCCUACGGGAGGCAGCAGUUAGGAAUAUUGGACAAUGGGCGAAAGCCUGAUCCAGCCAUGCCGCGUGUGUGAUGAAGGCCCUAGGGUUGUAAAGCUCUUUCGUUGGGGAUGAUAAUGACGGUACCCAAAGAAGAAGCACCGGCUAACUUCGUGCCAGCCGCCGCCGUAA
rnacentral:rRNA from 1 species